rnacentral:rRNA from 1 species
UACGGAGGGUGCAAACGUUGCUCGGAAUCAUUGGGCGUAAAGCGCACGUAGGCGGUCCGGAAAGUCGGGUGUGAAAUCCCUCGGCUCAACCGAGGAAGUGCAUUCGAAACUUCCGGACUUGAAUAUGGAAGAGGGUCGCGGAAUUCCCGGUGUAGAGGUGAAAUUCGUAGAUAUCGGGAGGAACACCAGUGGCGAAGGCGGCGACCUGGGCCAAUAUUGACGCUGAGGUGCGAAAGCGUGGGGAGCGAACAGG